rnacentral:rRNA from 1 species
GCACAACGCGAAGAACCUUACCAAGGCUUGACAUAUAGCAGAACACUCUAGAAAUAGAGGACUCUUUGGACACUGUUAUACAGGUGGUGCAUGGUUGUCGUCAGCUCGUGUCGUGAGAUGUUCGGUUAAGUCCGGCAACGAGCGCAACCCUCGUCCUAUGUUGCCAGCGGUUCGGCCGGGAACUCAUGGGAUACUGCCGUGGUCAACACGGAGGAAGGUGGGGAUGACGUCAAAUCAUCAUGCCCCUUAUGUCUUGGGCUUCACGCAUGCUACAAUGGCCGGUACAAAGGGCGGCGAUACCGUAAGGUGGAGCGAAUCCCAAAAAGCCGGUCUCAGUUCGGAUUGGGGUCUGCAACUCGACCCCAUGAAGUCGGAGUCGCUAGUAAUCGCAGAUCAGAAUGUCGCGGUGAAUACGUUCCCGGGUCUUGUACACACCG